GGCCUAUUAGCUCAGUUGGUUAGAGCGUCGUGCUAAUAACGCGAAGGUCACAUGUUCGAGACCUACAUGGGCCA
rnacentral:tRNA from 1 species